rnacentral:sRNA from 1 species
UAUCGCAUCUUAAAACUACCAACUUGGACAUUGAUUUUAUUUGCUCUAUCUAAUGCUUUGGUUCUGAGUCCCCACCUUCAAACCUCUCCUUCAACUAUGUCUUCUUAUUUGCUCGAGGGCAAGCAAAGACUAAGUUUGUGGGAGUUGAUAUGUCUAUAAUUUGCAUGUUUUCAGUGUUCAUUCAUCAUCAUUUUGAGUCUAAUUUCAUAUCAUUCAUCACUGUUUUAUAUCAUUUCUUAUCAUUCUUGCAUACUUUGCAUGAUUAGGAUAGCUUUGCAUACAUAUUGCAUUUCUGAGUUGUUUUCAGGUGAUUUGGAGUUGUUUGCGAGCAAAUUGGAAGAAGCGAGCAAGAACUAGAGGACAUACUCAACCAAAUUGC